CGGUGCCAUUGGCUUUGGAUGAACUGGAUUGUCAGUGCUGUCACUCUAGCUUUGCAAUCUCUUGUGGAACUGGAGUGCUGACAUUUCAGGGACUCCCCAUGCCGGCAUUCCCACUUGCCUCUCCCUCCUACUGAUGCUGCCAUAGCCAUAUCUGCCGGAGCUUGCAGAUUGCACUUCAUAUUGUACUCACCUAGCUUUUAGCACUGCCAAUAGCCUCCUCUACUAUGCCUAAUUGUACAUUUUAUUUCCCCUACUCCUCCUGGGGGUGAUGCCUGGAGACCUCAAUCUAUCAAGAUAUCCAGCACACCCGACCACCACCAGUGACGUCCCUGCAUCCAGCUCGCCGUUCUGAUCUUCCAUGUAUGACCCGCUGCCUUACCUCUGGUUGCCUGGCAAUUGGAAGAAGACUCGGCUUCGGCAUUGGCUUAUCUUCCUUGCUCUCCUCUCUCUAUUUGACUAUCCCUGCCGGCCCCUGGAGGAUGGGCUUCCCCUUUGAGUCUGGUCCCUCUCAAGGUUUCUUCCUUCUAGGGAGUUUUUUCCUUGCCACUGUCGCCUAUGGCUUACUCACUGGGGGCUUUGGGUGAGGAUACUGUAAAGCGCUUUGAGACAAUGUAAUGUUGUGAUAAUGCGCUAUAUAAAAAUAAAUUUGUU